CAGUCUGUGAUUGUGAGUCGUGAUACGCUGUUAUAAGUUUAUUAUUUAUACAAAAAGUUAAGAUUAAUUGAUCAUUAAAAUGCAAACGGAACUUAGGCAUAUGCGUACUAGACGUGACAAUGUGCCAAGUCAUUGCGAUUCGGGUACUACUUGCGCUAUCACUAUACAAAUGCCCAACCCCGAGGCAGUGGGCUGCGUAGAGAGAUGCGCAACAUUCCUAUCGUUUCUGCUAGUCGUCAUUACCUUCCCAUUCUCAUUAUUUGAAUGUUUCAAGGUGGUCCAAGAAUUCGAAAGGGCUGUUAUUUUUCGUCUGGGAAGACUUAGAAAAGGUGGUGCGCGCGGGCCGGGCCUGUUUUUUGUUCUACCAUGCAUAGACACUUAUAGAAAAGUCGAUUUGAGAACUGUGUCUUUUGACGUACCACCACAAGAGGUACUCACAAGAGAUUCUGUAACGGUAGCAGUAGACGCGGUGGUGUAUUACAGAAUCAAGGAGCCACUCAAUGCAGUCGUACGAGUUGCCGAUUACAGUGCAUCAACCCGUUUACUAGCAGCAACAACCCUGCGGAAUGUACUUGGUAUGCGAGAUUUAGCCCAGCUGCUGUCAGAUCGAGAAGCUAUCAGCCAUAUGAUGCAGGCGAACCUGGAUGAAGCUACUGACCCUUGGGGAGUAGAAGUAGAGAGAGUGGAGAUAAAAGACGUGAGAUUACCGGUUCAACUACAAAGAGCGAUGGCUGCCGAAGCCGAAGCGGACAGGGAGGCUCGAGCUAAGAUCAUAGCCGCGGAAGGAGAGAUCAAAGCUUCCAAGGCAUUAAAGGAAGCUUCGCUCGUGAUGGUCGACAAUCCUAUGGCGCUGCAGCUACGAUAUCUGCAGUCCCUCAACACCAUUUCAGCUGAAAAGAAUUCUACGAUAAUAUUCCCAUUCCCGAUGGACUUUCUGAAGACGUUUCUACCGGGAACUGCAGCACAUUCUUCUCCACUACCAUUUUAGUCACAAUUAGCCAGACCUGAUUCUACUCUAAAAAUAUCACAUGCUUACGAAUUAAGACAAAAUUAAAUAAUAGUUUUAAUAUCUGAAAUUUAUUUUCACCAUCAAUAUAAAAUUAAAUUUUAAAUACAUAAAGGUGAAACAAAUAUUAUUAUAUAAUGUUAUAAUAAAGUGGGCACUAUAAUUUGUUAUGUAUGAAAGCACAUAGGUACAGGUAGUAAAUAUCUGUAUUGAAUAAACGGACCAUAGAAGUAACAAAUGUAACGACACCUGUCACACCACACCACCAGAAUUCGACUUGGUGGCCUGAGGCGAUUUUUUUCCCCACCAAUAAAAAAAAAGUUGACAAAACAAGGUUUCAGUAUUUUUAAGAAAAGGAUUGCUGUAACAAAUGUAAAAAAGGACUUAGGCCAAUAUUUUUCUGUGAUUUGAGACAUUUUCAACCUCAUUUUUGAACAUUUUCGUUAUCUAUGUCACACAAUGACAUUAUCAUAUUUAAGAUAUUUAUAGUUAUUAUAUGAUGUACCUAUCUAUACUUAUUUAAGUAGAUUUAUUUUAUAUAGCAGUAUUAUCAGUUAAGCUAAUGUAAUAACAGCGUAACCAUGAGCAUAGUCCUGGUACAUUCACAAACAUCACAUCAACUGAUAAGUACGUAUGAUUAUGUAACUCCGACGCUCUAUUACCUGUAAUAUCUCUGUUAAAACUGUGAGCCUCUGUGGGUAUUCAGUUCAUGCCAUUAGCAUCUCUUAAAAAUGGGUUAAACACUUACUGAACAUGGAGUCCACUGCCCACCUUGCUUAAUAAAUUUCCAUUUCUUCGAAUCAGACAAUCAGUUUUUCACAUUUUUGGGAAAAUGCGUCUCAGUUUAUCCCUGGGUCAUAGAUAGAACCUAUGUUGUUUAAAAAUAUGUAUAUGUUGUUACAAAUAAGAAGAUAUUAUUAUACAUAUUAUUUCAUUUUCUUACAGAAAUAAAGAAAGAAAGUAUAAAAGAGAAAAUCCUACGGCUAAUCGCCCUAAUUUUUAUAAUUUUUAUACCUUUUCUACUUUUGCUCUGUUUUAAGGUUGUAAAACAAUACCAAAGAGCGGUUAUUUUGAGAUUUGGAAAACUGCGAGCGAAUUGUCCAGCCGGACCUGGCGUUAUUUGGCUGGUUCCUUGUACCGACACCGUCAUUCUUGUAGAUAUGAGAACACAUUCUUUUAACUUACCACCACAAGAGGUAUUAUUUCUCUAAUAUUUUUUGAUUUUCAUCAUCCUAGUGUUAAUCCUGAUUACAUCCUCACCUCCCUGAAAUGGAGGCCGGACUGCGCCUUAUGACCAUUAUCUUGAUUUGGGUAAGUCAGGUUUUUAUAUGAAGUGAUUCCCGUCCCACCUUCGCAACCUUUUCAAAGGAACCUGAACAUAACUAUUGCCUAUUUUUAAGCAUGAAUGAAGAUAAUUUUCAUAACAGGGUUCCAUUUAUAAUUCUAGAGGUAAAGUAGGUAGAGUAUUGCUCCAAAAAGGAAAGAAUUC